UGGGACACGCCUCCCCAACGAGGUGCAACUAUCUGAGAGGGUAGCG
rnacentral:ncRNA from 1 species